rnacentral:sRNA from 1 species
CGGUGUUCCGGCUGGAAUUUUCAGAUGACUGAGUCCUGCCGGUUCAAACUGAACUCACUAUGUGUAUAACACACACGUGUCGGCACAUUCGCCGGGGUGCCUGAGUGGUUUGCUCCAUUCGGGUCGGCGCAAUGGGACACGUGGAGGCAUAACC